CGCGUGGGGUGAAUAAGGUUUCGAUCGUAAGCUCUGUUGUUAGGGAGACAGUACGUUCGAUAGGCGGUACUGACGGUACUAACCAGAAAGCACGGCUACUACGUGCCAGCAGCGCGGUAAUACGUAGGUGGCAAGCGUGUCUGAAUUAUUGGGCGUAAAGGGCUCGCAGGCGGUUUCUAAGUCUGAUGUGAAAGCCCCGGGCUCAACCGGGGAGGGUCAUUGGAAACUGGGGAACUUGAGUGCAGAAGAGGAGAGUGGAAUUCCACGUGUAGCGGUGAAAUGCGUAGAGAUGUGGAGGAACACCAGUGGCGAAGGCGACUCUCUGGUCUGUAACUGACGCUGAGGAGCGAAAGCGUGGGGAGCGAACAGGAUUAGAUACCCUGGUAGUCCACGCCGUAAACGAUGAGUGCUAAGUGUUAGGGGGUUUCCGCCCCUUAGUGCUGCAGCUAACGCAUUAAGCACUCCGCCUGGGGAGUACAGUCGCAAGACUGAAACUCAAAGGAAUUGACGGGGGCCCGCACAAGCGGUGGAGCAUGUGGUUUAAUUCGAAGCAACGCGAAGAACCUUACCAGGUCUUGACAUCCUCCGACAAUCCUAGAGAUAGGACGUCCCCUUCGGGGGCAGAGUGACAGGUGGUGCAUGGUUGUCGUCAGCUCGUGUCGUGAGAUGUUGGGUUAAGUCCCGCAACGAGCGCAACCCUUGAUCUUAGUUGCCAGCAUUCAGUUGGGCACUCUAAGGUGACUGCCGGUGACAAACCGGAGGAAGGUGGGGAUGACGUCAAAUCAUCAUGCCCCUUAUGACCUGGGCUACACACGUGCUACAAUGGACAAAACAAAGGGCAGCGAAACCGCGAGGUUAAGCCAAUCCCACAAAUCUGUUCUCAGUUCGGAUCGCAGUCUGCAACUCGACUGCGUGAAGCUGGAAUCGCUAGUAAUCGCGGAUCAGCAUGCCGCGGUGAAUACGUUCCCGGGCCUUGUACACACCGCCCGUCACACCACGAGAGUUUGUAACACCCGAAGUCGGUGAGGUAACCUUUUAGGAGCCAGCCGCCGAAGGUGGGACAGAUGAUUGGGGUGAAGUCGUAACAAGGUAGCCGUA
rnacentral:rRNA from 1 species